rnacentral:rRNA from 1 species
UACGUAGGGUCCAAGCGUUAAUCGGAAUUACUGGGCGUAAAGCGUGCGCAGGCGGUUGUGUAAGUCAGAUGUGAAAUCCCCGGGCUUAACCCGGGAAUUGCGUUGGAGACUGCAAGGCUGGAGUCUGGCAGAGGGGGGUAGAAUUCCACGUGUAGCAGUGAAAUGCGUAGAGAUGUGGAGGAACACCGAUGGCGAAGGCAGCCCCCUGGGUCAAGACUGACGCUCAUGCACGAAAGCGUGGGGAGCAAACAGG